rnacentral:rRNA from 1 species
CCCUUAGAUGUUCUGGGCCGCACGCGCGCUACACUGACGAAUGCAACGAGCUUAUAACCUUGGCCGAAAGGUCUGGGUAAUCUCCAAAUUUCGUCGUGAUGGGGAUAGAUUAUUGCAAUUAUUAAUCUUCAACGAGGAAUGCCUAGUAAGCGCAAGUCAUCAGCUUGCGUUGAUUACGUCCCUGCCCUUUGUACACACCGCCCGUCGCUCCUACCGAUUGAAUGGUCCGGUGAAGCGUUCGGACCGUGGCCUUUGGACGGUUCGCCGUCUGUUGGCUGCGGGAAGUUCGUUAAACCUUAUCAUUUAGAGGAAGGAGAANUCGCANCA